rnacentral:rRNA from 1 species
GACGAACGCUGGCGGCGUGCCUAAUACAUGCAAGUAGAACGCUGAAGGAGGACCUUGCUUCUCUGGAUGAGUUGCGAACGGGUGAGUAACGCGUAGGUAACCUGCCUGGUAGCGGGGGAUAACUAUUGGAAACGAUAGCUAAUACCGCAUAAGAGUAGAUGUUGCAUGACAUUUGCUUAAAAGGUUCAAUUGCAUCACUACCAGAUGGACCUGCGUUGUAUUAGCUAGUUGGUGGGGUAACGGCUCACCAAGGCGACGAUACAUAGCCGACCUGAGAGGGUGAUCGGCCACACUGGGACGGAGACACGGACCAGACUCCUACGGGAGGCAGCAGUAGGGAAUCUUCGGCAAUGGACGGAAGUCUGACCGAGCAACGCCGCGUGAGUGAAGAAGGUGUUCGGAUCGUAAAGCUCUGUUGUAAGAGAAGAACGAGUGUGAGAGUGGAAAGUGCACACUGGGACGGUAUCGUACAAGAAAGGGACGGCUAACUCCGU